GACGAACGCUGGCGGCGUGCUUAACACAUGCAAGUCGAACGGAAAGGCCCUGCUUUUGUGGGGUGCUCGAGUGGCGAACGGGUGAGUAACACAUGAGUAACCUGCCCUUGACUUUGGGAUAACUUCAGGAAACUGGGGCUAAUACCGGAUAGGAGCUCCUGCUGCAUGGUGGGGGUUGGAAAGUUUCGGCGGUUGGGGAUGGACUCGCGGCUUAUCAGCUUGUUGGUGGGGUAGUGGCUUACCAAGGCUUUGACGGGUAGCCGGCCUGAGAGGGUGACCGGCCACAUUGGGACUGAGAUACGGCCCAGACUCCUACGGGAGGCAGCAGUGGGGAAUAUUGCACAAUGGGCGGAAGCCUGAUGCAGCAACGCCGCGUGCGGGAUGACGGCCUUCGGGUUGUAAACCGCUUUCGCCUGUGACGAAGCGUGAGUGACGGUAAUGGGUAAAGAAGCACCGGGUAACUACGUG
rnacentral:rRNA from 1 species